rnacentral:tRNA from 1 species
GUGAGCGUAGCUCAGUCUGGUUAGAGCGCUGGACUGUGGCUCCAGUGGUCGGGGGUUCGAAUCCCCUCGCUCACCCCA